CCACAGUUCACAAAUCCAAUCUAUCUUCAACUCUUGAUAAUUCCAAACCCUUCCUUCAUAUAAGAAAGACCAAAACUACGUGUAUGUUUACUGAAACCAAAGCCCCCAGAGGACCAGCAGAUCAAUUGUCUGUCUACGGUGGGCCUCAUCCUACUAGUUGUAGGCCUUAAAAGCAAAAAUUGAGCUUUCCUGAAGAAGAAGAAAGUCUGUCUCCAGGCAGCAACACCAACUCCUGCCUGAGCAGUCGCCGACCUGCCCUGCAGAUUUCAGACUUGCCAGCCUCCAAAAUCACAUGAGCCAGUUCCUUAAAAUAACUCUCUAUUGGCUCUGUUUCUCUGGAGAACCCUGUGAUACAGACUGUGACUACCCUCAAAGGCUUUGUGAAGAAUAUUUCCAUGGAAAAUAGUGAGUAAAGAGUGGGUAAACGGUAAAUUGAAUGUCUGUUUUAUCUGGAAUAAGACCAAAAUUGGUCUUGGGAACAAAAACCAGAAGCAAUCUUCAUGGAAUUCAUAAUUGGAAAAGA